AAGUGGUACGCGAGCUGGGUUUAAACCGUCGUGAGACAGGUUGGUCCCUAUCUUCUGUGGGCGCACGAAACUUGAGGGGUUUUCUCUUUAGUACGAGAGGAUUUAGAGGGACGUACCUCUGGUGUUCCUGUUGUCACGCUAGUGGCAUCGCAGGGUAGCUAAGUACGGUUAGGAUAAGCGCUGAAAGCAUCUAAG
rnacentral:rRNA from 1 species